GUGCUCUUCCGAUCUCUUUCUUCUCCGUCCCCUCUCAUCUCCCCGGAAUAUGUCUGCAGAUCUAGACCUCCGGCGAGACUUUCAAGAAACCCAAUUGCCAAGACUAAAGAUUAGCCCCCCAGAUGUCAAUGGCUCUGAUCAAACCCACGAAAUUCAGGGCUCUACAAGUAAGGUAGAUCAAGAGGAAGAAGGAGAGGAGUGCCGGACGCCGAGAUCGCCUCGGAGUACAAUUCCGGCGGCGCUGGAAUGCCCGCCGGCGCCCCGGAAGCCGCGGCGGCGGGCGGCGGCGUGCAAGCGGAAGCUGAGCGAGCUGAAGUUUUUGGAGAUGGUGGCCGGAGAGGAGAUCGAAUCGUUCUUCGGUGCAAACGCCGGGAGGAAUAUCAGAAGGUGCCUUGUGUAAAUGCUCCGAGGGAAAAACAAGAAAAGAAAAUUCCACGUAAUUUUUUUUUUUGGCCAAAGAAGAAUUUGUUCUUGUGUACGUAGAAAUUACACAUUUUAAUAUGUGAAUUAUUUGAUUUUUGGAUAUAAACAUGUCGAAAAUGAAUUCAAGAAAUUUGGAUCUGAAUUUUACAUCAUGAAUGAAUAUCGUAUCCAUCCUCUUAUUUUCAA